CUUUAUCUUUUUGUGAAACUUGUAUUAGCUCAACUAUGUAAAUCUGUGGGAGAAAAACAAAACAAAACAAAACAAAACAAAACAAACAGCUGAGCCAUCUUUUCCCAUCUCUGUUAAUUUACCUUGAAAAGUUCACAGCUUAGAAAUUACAGCCUGCUGGGGUGAGAGGGAGUGGCCUCUGGGGGGAAAUGUCCCAGCUGCCUUUAAUAGCCUCUCCCCAGAGGGUAACCUGUUCUUUAAAAACUUAGCCUCAGGUGUCUGCUCUAGCUCCCAGGGCAUGUGUGACAACAGACCCAGGGUAGGAGUUUUGUAUUUCAAACAAAGCCCCUGGAAGCUUGCAGAAGAAGCCCCG
ensembl:antisense Gm28221 predicted gene 28221